UCUCCCACCCGCAGGCCGCUGCUCUUGGCCUCCGGUCCUGCAGGCAGGGCCGGUCCCUAGCACCCGCGCCCCGCCCGCCGCCAGGCUCCAGAUGGCCGCUCCUUGCGCUCCUCUUGCGGGGCCCCAGACGCCGCCCGGCAGCAUCAGGCAGUCGCUCGCUCCCAGCUGCUACUGAAGAGCCCAGCACUCAUCCGAGAGCCUAGGCUGGGAUUGGGGCGGGACCGCCGGAGACCGAGCGCGGGACUUCAGCAGUCGGCUGGCCAGGACUGAGCGCCCCGCUUUCUGCAGCGCACCGAGGGCGGGGCUGGGGAUGGACCACCCAAGGGACAGCGGGAGCCGCCGCACAGCCGCCAGGAGAGGGCGCCCAGCACCCAGAACCUGCUCCGGAGUCGGACUGUGUCUAGGCGCCCGCGACCCGGCGCAGCCGAAAGCUGCUUCGGCAGGAAGCACGCCCCCUUCCGUCCGAGAGUGGUAAUGCCCACCACCAGGCGAGACACCCCACUUUCCCAGUUUUCUUCUCACUGCCCUCCACGCUUUCGGUUUUUCUCUCUUCUCCCCUUCCCUCCCCUCCUCUCCUCACCUACCCAAUUCUUCGUCUCCUCUUGCCUCCCCAACUCCUCCCUUCUUUUCCUCCCUUCCUCCCCAAUCCGCACCUUCCUGGUUCUCUUUCUACUCUGGCCUCCACCCUUGCAUUUCGGUUAUUUCCCCCAUUCACAAGUCGCUACGGUGGCUCAGGAAGGUUUUGUUUGACCCUGGGAGAUGAUGUGGAAGGCGAUGGGUUUCCUGCCCAGACUUGUUGCUCUGCGUUGUGCCUUCAAUCAACCGGAAGUAUGACAACCAUGAGGGGUUGGAGUUGUCCUCCGAUGACGAUGGGAGAAAUGGGGUGUUUGAUUUGGGACUGGGUGUUAUGGUGGGGGGCAGCGCAUCUGCAGAAUGUGGGCCUCCGGGUUCUUGCUGGACUCAGUCUCCUCAUACUGAGUUCCUUCCUUCCAAUGCAUUCUGAACGUCCCACACAGUCCUCCCUUUACCAAGACACCCCAAAGACCUACAGCUGACCUCCCAGACCAGUCCUUUCCCUUUCUACCAAAGCUGGGGAUGAGGGUAGGGAUGGAGAAAAGACACUAAGGGCCGCGAUGCCUAGCUCCUGCGCGCCCAGCUGACGUCUCCUCUAAUUCCUAAGUGUCCCGGCGCGUGCCCACAGUGCCCUUGGGCCGCUGCGUCACAGCCGCGGGGCUUUAGACCCCGAGAGCAGGUUCCAUAAGCUCUCAGAAUAAAUCCCCUCGGAAACAUUAAUCACAACGACCAGCGAGUGCAAACUGUAAGCCCACGCGGUGUCUGCCUUUUAAUCCUGCACGUAAUUCUGAAAAGCAGCAUCGGACAAGGUUCUGUUGAUCCCUUACAGGAGUUCGUGCGGUCUCUGACCUCCCAGACGUGCUUAACUGAAAUUCCAUGAAGUCUUGGCCAAUGUAAAGAAAUAUGAGAGGGCAGAAAAGAAGCAGUGAGGGGAGACAAAUGGAAAACUGGGGUGCACGUUAAUUACUGUGGAGUUAACCCUAGGCAGGAGUCCAGAAAUUAGACGGGAGCGGCGGUCCUGCGGCGGGGGUUGGGAAGCAGUUGGCUGGGAUAUGUUAGAAGUGGAAGUCGAAACCCAGGUUUUUCUCUACCAACCUUCGAACCCACGUGACCUCACGCAGGCACUGUCCUCCUGUUUGGGUCAGCUUGCAAGAAUCAGGGUUCGCCCCUCUGGGGCUUGUUGCUCGCACUUGAGAUUUCACUAUCUUGUUCAAUUAAUCAUAUUUCACUUCUCCCAUUUUAUUCAAAACCGUCUUCCAGGUCCCUCAUAAUCGUAAUCUGCGCCAUUGCCUUUUAUCUUUGAUUAAUUAGGAAGCUGAAAAUGAUAAUGGAGGGUUGGACCAAUAAAUUAGCUUUAGGAACAGACGGACCGACGUCCGGAGUAGCUGUGUGGGUGGGCGCUACAGGAUGGGGGGCAGUGGCCGCCAAGGAGCGAAAUACACUCGCUAGGCGCGAAAAGCACCGGCUAGGACCACUCUCUGUCCUGGAGUACUGAAAGACCCCUUCUGCAGCUUGAGUCUGCGCUUGGAGAGCUGCGUGUGAGGGCGGGGCUUGAUCUUUCUUUCUGAGGCCUGACCACACCAACUAGAGCCCCAAUUUAGUCUCCCGUGUUGAGCACAUUUCUCUAACAAGGAACUAGAAAGUUCUCGUUGGCUUUUGCACUCUUCGUUCUCUCUCUCCCCUUACUGGUUGGGGGCGGGGAAAGACUGACUCAAAAAAUCAGUCCGAGGCUCCCAGGCUCAAGAGGCAAGGCCCAUGGCGUCCCUUUUCUCCUUCCGUGAAGUCGCUCACGCUUCCAGACGGCUGAAUGAGAGAGCACUUUGCGGCUCUUCACGGCUUCACCCCAGCCCUCUUUAGCUUUCAAUUGAAAACCAAUUAAAGGUUUCUAUAAAUCUGUUAGCUCCCCUUUUAUCUGGGGACCCCUGAUGCAUGCGAUAUUGCCCUUUAGAUGCCUCUUCCAUGUUUUGUUUUACAAUUGUUGUAUCAAUAUAAUGCGGCCUUUCUUCUCCUGUCUCUAUAGAUACAGAUACACAAGGCAAACCAGAGCUAUUGAGGCUCAUUUGUCCCGGAGCCUAGCAGCGCUCCUCUUUCUCUCCGGCUGCUUUCCCUGCUUCGGUAGCAGCAGCAGUUAUGGUAGAAGCAGAUGGCGGCUGAUUGGGGGAGCUUUGUGGCUCUAAUGCUGAAUACUUUAUGGAAAAGGACUUUAUCAUGCUUGGUUGGGCAGAGGAACAAGGGGGUGAGAUUUAUGGCCAGGAAAAAUAAAUCUUUUUCCAAGUUGUGGUUCCUUCUCACCAGUGUCUCCUUUGCCCCUGGGGUCAAACACUAAGGAAUUGGUUUGAUUUGAUUUGAUUCGCCUCUCUGCUAACAGCAUUUUUUAGUCAGGGUCUGCGUGGAGCGUGCACUAAGAGCCAGCCGUUUAUGAAAUGCCCCCACGUUGUUGGUGCUGCUUCAACAUUGUCUGGCCACGGGG